CCUCUGCAUCAUCCCCCUGGAAUUCUGCCUGUGAGCUGACAUUUCUGGGAGCUUCAUUAAUUCAUUCUCGAGUAUAUUAAUUAAUGCUGAGAGACAAAAAUAACUGAGUGGUUAAGAACACUGGCUUUGGCGGUGACACCUAAAAACUGUCUUCAUGAAUCUCAGCUGUCAUUCACUGCUGCAACCUUGACCAAUUUCCUUAACUGUCAGCCUCAUUUUCCUAGUGUAUGAGAGAUGCCAUGUGCCCAGCAUGGUGGAGUCAAUGUUUUCUGCUAUUUUAGAGUUUACAGCUCAACAGGUGGUCAGUUCAGUUUAGUGGAUGUUCUUUUUUGUUUGUUGGUUUAGAGGCAAGGUCUCACUCUGUCGCCCAGGCUGGAGUGCAGUGGUGCAAUUACAACUUACUGCAGUCUCAAACUCCUGGGGCCAAGCGAUCCUCCUGCCUCAGCCUCCUGUGUAGCUGGGAAUACAGGUGUGAAUGUUCUUUACCACCUGUGUAGGAUAUGGAACUUCAUCAUGGGACUCCGCCCCUUCUGCUGCUGUUGUCCUCUGUCAAUCACCUGCCUCUGAAGCCAUCUCCCACAUCAGUGGGGUGAUUUUUGUUUCGAAGGACAAGCUGACAAUGACAAGACUUCCCGCUUCCCCUCUAGGGUGCAGAGACAAGAACUGCAAGGUGCUGCUCCCUCCCGUGACUCCUAAGCUGCUAGAUGAGAGCUGUGCUUCUCUUAUCUGGGCCUCAGGACAUGGCCCUGUGUUUCCAAUCCUUCAGCUGCAGGCGUUUUUCAGCCAACAGUUUGACUUCAACGAAGUCAGCAGCAUCCUGAGUCAAACCCGGCUGGAGUCCCUCUGCUCAGAGCAGCGUUGCGUGGGUGUGUCACACAGAUGGGCACAGUCACCCAGGCCACAGGGCUUCUCUAGAAGCUGGAGGGAACCUUGGCUAGGGCUUAACCUGCUUCGGUUCACCACUUCUCUGCCAAGCCCUUUUCUGUGGAAUUUCCAUCUGCCUCUCCACAGCAAUGACUUGAAAACUGGCAACAUAAGCUUGCUGCCGCCUCCCUAUGGUAUGUUUCCCGGUUGGACAAGCAGCUCAGAAUGCCCCCUGCCCAUCUCACUUCAUAAUUUGUGUCAGUACUUCCUGGAGUGGGACUGCUUCCCUUGGAAGUUGCUGGAAGGUGGAGUUAAUUCAGGUCAUGGUGUUCCAGCUGCAAAGGGUCCCGCUGGACCAGAGGCUUCAUGGAGGGAUGGGGCUAAUGGAGCAGAGAUGGAGAAUGGAAGCUGAAAAGAAGAUUCCAAACUGAAAGGAGUUUACACUGGCAGUGAUUUGUACAAGACAAAAGGAGAAAAACUGGAAAAACCGAGAUCAUAUUAAAGUGAACAAAUAAGGAUCAACAGCUUCAGAGAAAUGAAGACAUUGCUAAUAACAAUCAGUGAUGAGGGAGAUGUGGUUUGGCCGUGUCCCCGUCCAAAUCCCAUCUUGAAUUAUAGCUCCCAUAAUUCCUACAUGUUAUGGGAGGGACUCAAUGGGAGGUAACUGAAUCAUGGGAGUGGGUCUUUCCCGUGCUGUUGUCAUGAUAGUGAAUAAGCCUCGUGAGAACGGAUGGUUUUUAACAAGGGGAGUUCCCUUGCACACACACUCUUGCCCAUCACCAUGUAAGACGUGCCUUUGCUCUUUCUCCACCUCCAUCGAGAUUAUGAUGCCUUCCAGUUAUGUGGAACUGUGAGUCCAUUAAACCAGUUUCCUUUAGAAAUUACCCAGUCUUGGGUAUGUUUUUGUUAGCAGCAUGAGAACAGACUAAUACAGGAGGUAAAUUUCUUCCCCCACCAAAUGAACAUGGAAGGCAUUAAAGGCUUUGAAGUUAAAGGUAGGAAGCAUGCUGGAUGUGAAAAGUGUGAAAGCUUCUUUCUCUCAAGGAAUCCUGACUUCUGCAGGUACAGAGGACAGAGAAGCCUAAUGAUCACUCAGAGAGUGAAUGAAGGCUGGGAGCUGGUAGAGGAUAGAGGAUGCCACUGCCACCAGCCCUCACUGCACUUCCUUCAGGUAAGACAGGGAGGAAGUGAGAGGGCACAGAGGCCACGCAUUCAGUUUUGCUGUCAUCAAUUCCUAGAGUCACAAGUUUUAUCUCCUGACACAUUUCUGAUACAGUGCUUAGGACAUCCUGCCCUUCAAAAACAGCUCAGGAAAUAAACCUUGUGACUUCAGGCAUUGAGCCAUUCUUGGGAUCGAAAAUCUGUGACCUAUAGAGUAUGGAAUGAUAGACACUGGAGACUAGGAAGGAUGAAGGGUGGAAGCGGGUGAGAGAUGAGAAAUUAUCAGAGCCACUGGAACCAGAGUGACUCCAUCUUGAAGAGGGGCUGGGUAAAAUGAGGCUGACACCUGCUGGGCUGUGUCCCCAGGAGGUCAGCCAUUCUUAGUCACAGGAACGACGGGAUAGGAAGUAACAAAGACCCCUCUGAUUAAACAGGAUGCAGUAAAGAAGCCAGCCAAAACCCAUCAAAUCCUAGAUGGCAAUGACGAUGACCUCUGGUCAUCUUCACUGCUCAUUCUACACUAAUGAAAAUGCAUUUGCACACUCAAAGACACUCCCACUCCUGCAGUGACAGUUUACAAAUGCCAUGACAAUGUCCAGAAGUUACCCUACAUGGUUUAACCCUCAGUUGCAGGGGAAUUGCCCACCCCUUUCCUGGAAAAUUCAUGAAUAAUUCACCCCUUGUUUAGCAUGUGAUCAAAAAGUAACCAUAAAAAUAGCCAACCAGUAGCCCUUGUGGCUGCUCUGCCUAUGGAGUAGCCCUUCUUUUGUUUAUUUACUUCUCUCAUAAAUGCUUUCACUUUACUCUGUGGAGUCACCCCAAAUUCUCUCUUCCAGGGAGAUCCAAGAACAGUCUCUUAGGGUCUGGAUCAGGACCCCUUUCUGGUAGCAAAAUUACUUAAUGGAUACAAUGUACAUUAUUUGAGUGAUGGUUACACUAAAAGCCCAGACUUUACCUCUAGGCAAUAUAUCCAGGUAACAAAAUUGCGCUUGUACCCCUUAAAUUUAUACAAACAAUUAAAAAAAGAAAAUCACAACCUGGGGGGAGACUGCUGUUACUCAGCCCUCGGGUUUCCACCUGUCAGUGUUACUGUGAAGAAUAACCUUAAAAUUAUCCCAGGAGUGUCUAAAGGAAAAAUUCAUAGUACAUUUGAUGGUCUGCUGUCAGAACUUUUCAUGCCAUUUUUUUUCUGGUUAAGUGUCAAAAUGAGCAUCAUAAAAUUCUGCGUAAGAGUCUAACUGAUACUAUUAGAAUCAUUAACAUGUUACUGCUCCUUUAUGUUUGAGAUUCUUCAUAACCAUUCAGACUAUCCAUUCAUUUACCGAAUACAUAGUCAUAAAGUUUGUAGGAAAGCUCCCUUCAGCCUACCUGCUUUGAAUUAGUUCCUCACUAAUUGUGUUCUAACUGAUCUCCCUGUGCCUCCUCACCUUCCAACCCUACCAUCAGCGCCUUCCUGACGAGAAAGUAAAAAUUAGCUCAGAACAAGAAAGUAAAAACAUGCCUGGCCAUUCAUCAGGCUGGAAUAACAGACACGGAUAAAGCCGUCUUCAAAGUAACAGGGAACGGUAUUUCUCCCAAGGACAUACUGCAACUCUAACAGGUCAGAACAGCCCCUUCUUUGAGUCACUACUGCUUUUUUACUCUCUAAGAAACUUUAUUCUCUAAAAUCAUGGACUCUCCAAUGCUUUGCUGUUUAGAAUUGUAUCAGUAAGAAUGAAACCUCCACUUUUGGCUGGAAAACCUAGUCGCUUUUUGAUGCAGAGAAACAGUCUAGGUUUAUAACGCGGAGGCAGAGCUUCAGACAAGGGGUUUCCACAUCUAUCUCACAACUGCAUUGUUUCCAUAGAAACAGGAUCCUGGGUCCAUUUUUCAGUGCAGAUCUGAUACUGACCCCUUUAUACUACCCUACUUCACUGUGAGCCUAUCAAAACACUGCUUCAUUCAAAUUUCAUCUAAACCCCACCCUUCCCCAGAAUCCUAGAUUACUUCUGUUUCUUCUUUGUUUGGUGAAAUGCCCUCUAGAGUUCCAUUUACCCAAUUGGAUUAGAUAAAUAAAUCCAAAUGUACCAGACUAUUGGUUUGUUUCUGGUGGUCUUUGGUUGAUGCAGCUAGCACAUUGAGCAGCUAAUGCUUAUUCUGCCACAAACAGAAUAAAUUUUUCAAGAGGUUGGCAGAAUGGCUAUAAGAGUCAUCUCCAGCUGGGCACAGUGGGCACAGUAGCGCACGCCUCUAAUCCCAGCACUUUGGGAGGCCAAGGCAGGUGGAUCACUUGAGGCCAGGAGUUCAAGACGAGCCUGGCCAAGAUGGUGAAACCCUAGCUCUACUAAAAAUACAAAAAAGAAAAGAAAAUUGUUGGGUGUGUUGGCAGACACCUGUAAUCCCAACAACUCAGGAGGCUGAAGCAAAAGAAUCACUUGAGCCUUGGAGGUGGAGAUGGCAGUGAGCCGAGAGUAUGCCACUGCACUUUAGCAUGGAUAAUGGAGAGAGACUCCGUCUCAAAAAAUAAAAAGAAAAACUAAAAUUCAUCUCCUAUCAUUAUGUAUGGUUCUUUUAUUUUUUUCAAAGUAUUUAGAUGAUGGAACUUCUGCCUUUGUUAAGGGUAUUUGUACAGGACAUGGGGUAUUUGAAUUAUACAAAUCUUGUACUCAAGGAUCCAGGACCAGUCAAUACUUUCAUAUAAACUUGGAAAUAAUUACCCUAGACCAGAGAUCACUGGUAUAUUAUUAUAAAACUGUUUCUGUAAAUGGACGAAUAGUAAAUAUUGCUGAAAACUAUGUAACUCUGUUGUUCUUGUAGCCCAAAAGUAGCCAUAGACAAUAUGUAGUGAUGGGGCUUGGCUGUAUUCCAACAAAACUUUGUUUUAGCAAAACAAGAAAUGGGCCAGAUUGAACUCAAGGGCCACGGUUUGCUGACCCUCAUCCUAGACCAUCGCAAUAAA
ensembl:lncRNA